GUUUUUCUUCUGUGCUGCGCCUGGACUGCGGUGUCUCCCUGUGGAACCGGACUCUGCCUCUGCCAACAUCCCAAUACGACAGAAAAGCAGAGGACCUGAGCCAUAGGACUAUGCCUCAGGACUACCUGGCCUGAUGACUCCUUGCUGUCCCCAGUCCACCUGUUUGUGCUGCUGCUCCAGUUUCAACUGUUCUGCUUGCGGCUAUGGAACCCUGACCUGUUCACCAGACAUGCUGCCUUGUCCCCGACCUGCUGUUUUCAACUCUCUAGAGAUAGUAGGUGCGGUAGAGAUACUCUGAAUGAUCGGCCAUGAAAAGCCAACUGACAUUUUCUCCUGAGGUGCAGACCUGUUGCACCCUCUACAACCUCUGUGAUUAUUAUUAUCUGACCCUGCUGGUCAUCUAUGAACAUUUGAACAUCUUGGCCAUGUUCUGUUAUAAUCUCCAACUGGCACAGCCAGAAGAGGACUGGCCACCCCUCAUAGUCUGGUUCCUAUCUAGGUUUCUUCCUAGGUUCCGGCCUUCUAGGGAGUUUUUCCUAGCCAACGUGCUUCUACACCUGCAUUGCUUGCUGUUUGGGUUUUAGGCUGGGUUUCUGUACAGCACUUUGUGACAUUAGCUGAUGUAAGAAGGGCUUUACAAAUACAUUUGAUUGAUUGAUUGAUUGAUUGAUUGAUUGAGAACAGUUUUAAUGCACCUUUGCAUAGAUUUUACACAUUUCUGGAACUUUAUUGGAGGGACACCAUUCUUUCACAAUAAAUUCAAUAAUUUGGUGUUUUGUUGAAGGCAGUGGAAAACGCUGUCUAAGGUGCUGCACAUGCUCAUCAAACCAUUCGGUGGCCACUUGUACCUUGUGGAUGGGGGCAUUGUAAUCCUAUGGGGGCAUAGCAAUAGUAGCCAAAAUAAUGGCCAGUCCAGCAUUUUUAUACAUGACCCUAAGCAUGAUGGGAUGUUAAUUGCUUAAUUAACUCAGGAACCACACCUGUGUGGAAGCACAUGCUUUCAAUAUACUUUGUAUCCCUCAUUUACUCAAGUGUUUCCAUUAUUUUGGCAGUUACCUUUACAUAACUUUACUAUAACAAAGCAUACUGUAUGCUGAAGUGGAUGUACAGUAUGUACCACAGCUGCUAAGAAAAAAGGAAGGGUGUGAUUUAUCUGCCUUUCUCUGUGUAAGAGAUGUCCUAUUGGAUUGUUCAGCAUUUCCUGUCCUGUGGGAGGCCAUAGGUCUAACGCAAAAGAGCUGCACUUUGAUUUUUUGUUCACUACUCCAGGAUUAUCGCGUUUUGGCAAUAAAAUAUCUCAAUUUUUUUUCUCCUUGCUCAGUCAUUUCAGCCACUGUUUGAUUUGUCAAACUGCUGGUUACACGAUCUUAGAGAUGUGAUGGGAAGAGAAAUUUUGCCAAAUAAGCAUUCUCUCAUACUUUCAGAUGCUAAUACUGUAAGUGUUUCUGCCAUUCUGCUUUGAGAGCGAUGAGCCCUCCAAUUAUUGUUGUUCAGGCAUUGCUGUGGUGCAGAUAUUUCUGGUGUGUUUGAGGAGUAUGAUGAAUGAUACUCUCUAAUAAAAGGAGACAUAUCUCAGUG